AUGAUUGCGAAUGGUUACCUUCGGUGCUGGCUCGCUCUCGCGAGCAAGUGCACGUUGGUGGCUUUCAUCCACUACCCUUGUGAACCUUUGGCCUCUUGCUAGCUUCGGCUGGCAGAGGAUUUUUACACCCACACUCGAAUGUAAUGAAAAAACCCUUUGGUGCGCAAGCACUUAUGUA
rnacentral:misc_RNA from 1 species